AACGAACGCUGGCGGCAUGCCUAACACAUGCAAGUCGAACGCGUGGAGCGAUCCACGGGUGGCGCACGGGUGAGUAACGCGUGGGAACCUGCCCUGGAGUGGGGGAUAACCCGGCGAAAGCCGGGCUAAUACCGCAUACGACCUAAGGGUGAAAGAUUUAUCGCUCUAGGAGGGGCCCGCGUCGGAUUAGCUAGUUGGUGAGGUAAUGGCUCACCAAGGCGAUGAUCCGUAGCUGGUCUGAGAGGAUGAUCAGCCACACUGGGACUGAGACACGGCCCAGACUCCUACGGGAGGCAGCAGUGGGGAAUAUUGGACAAUGGGGGCAACCCUGAUCCAGCAAUGCCGCGUGGGCGAUGAAGGCCUUCGGGUUGUAAAGCCCUUUUGCACGCGACGAUGAUGACGGUAGCGUGAGAAGAAGCCCCGGCUAACUUCGUGCCAGCCGCCGCCGUAA
rnacentral:rRNA from 1 species